rnacentral:tRNA from 1 species
GGGGAUAUAGCUCAGUGGUAGAGGACUUGCCUAGCAUGUAUGAAACCUGGACUCAAUCCUCAGUACCACCA